rnacentral:lncRNA from 1 species
UUUGGUAAGCCAGUUUUUGAAAAAAGGUGAAUUUUUCCACCACCUCCAAAUCAUCCCAAUUUUCUUGUACAUGGUGACACACAUGUGCCAAACAUGUCUAUGAAAGAAAUUUUUGGAAAAAAUUAUUUUACAAUGCCCCCUUGAGGCAUAGACCGAUGUUUUCAGCAGUCAGUCUAGAGGGCAUUAUAAAUUCAAAAACAUUCAAAAAAACACAAAACCUUGGAAACCUAGCAUUGUUUGUGCAAAAGAUCAUGUGUGCCAAAAUUGAGGUGAUUUGGAGGUGGUCGAAAAAAUGCCCGCAUUCCGGAGGGACCAUUUGGUCUAACUUAAGCCAGUUUUUGAAAAAAGGUGAAUUUUUCCACGAAGUAUGUACAUGUAAACCAACCCAACAUCGAUCCGGUUCAGUGGAUGCAUGCAUGCUCUAUGUGCCACGAAGUAUGUCGGUCGAGCCACGAAGUAUGUGGUGCACCCAAUUCCCCAAAAAGGAAGAGAGCACGUGGACGCCCGAGAAAGCUAGUCAAUCCCGAGGAAGCAGCAAAAACAAAGAGUCUUAAAGAACUAAAACUUAAAUUUGACAGCAAGACCAUAGCCAAGCAAGUGCCUUCGUUACCAUCACGGUCACGCAGAGAGCAUAAACCAGCACCAGCUUUAUUGAGCCCAUUCAAACACAAAUAGGUAGCAUCAAUUGAUCAUCAAUCUAUAAAUGCUCAUGCUCAUGCUCUACUUUUAGCAUCAUUUCAUACACGUUUAGUUCUUAUCAGAAAGUGGAAAUAGGUACUUUUGGCAAUCAUGAGCAUCCUCUACUUAUAGCAAUAUCUAAUGCAUCAACAGUACAAAGCUUGAUUUGGCAAUAGGUGGAAUCGGCAAUCAUUUGCAUGGUUUAAUUUUGUGAAGCUAUAAUCAUGCUGAGUUAUACACUAAACAUAAUCAUGCCAAGCUAUAACUACCAUAGUCAUAAACCAGGCUUUUCUUAAGCACAGGUGCUUAUUUGUACAGGGUAGACGCAUAACUAGGCGUCUCUCCUAUAGAAAUAGGCACCAGUGCUUCAGAAAAACCCUGUUUAUUUUUCUAAGCACCAUCGUACGCAUCAAGCAUUGUACAAGGCUUAUCAUGCAUCACCAAAAUAGUAUUAACAACUUGGAACACUAAACCAGAGUAGCAGCAAACUCUUAAGAUAAACGGCAUAGGUUCAGACACACCAUAGGACAUCAGUUUUAGAGUCGAACAACAAAGAAACAUAGAUAACAUAAGAGGACACGGCGGUCCUGGGGCAGCAGCAGCACUCUAGCAGCACAUCACUUCUCUCCCUUCUUCAAUGGAGGUUGUAGGGCUCAUUGACUUUGACAAUCUGUUAUUUUACAAUGGAGGUUGUAGAAAGUUUUGGAAAAAAUUAUUUUACAAUGCCCCCUUGAGGCAUAGACCGAUGUUUUCAGGAGUCAGUCUAGAGGGCAUUAUAAAUUCAAAAACAUUCAAAAAAAAUACAAAACCUUGGAAACCUAGCAUUGUUUGUGCAAGAGAUCAUGUGUGCCAAAAUUGAGGUGAUUUGGAGGUGGUCGAAAAAAUGCCCGCAUUCCGGAGGGACCAUUUGGUCUUAACUUAAGCCAGUUUUUGAAAAAAGGUGAAUUUUUCCACCACCUCCAAAUCACCCCAAUUUUCUUGUACAUGGUGACACACAUGUGCCAAACAUGUCUAUGAAAGAAAUUUUUGGAAAAAAUUAUUUUACAAUGCCCCCUUGAGGCAUAGACCGAUGUUUUCAGCAGUCAGUCUAGAGGGCAUUAUAAAUUCAAAAAAAUUCAAAAAAAUACAAAACCUUGAAAACCUAGCAUUGUUUGUGCAAGAGAUCAU